GACAGGUUAGAUCUGUCUGGCUCAAGGGGAACAGACAACUGUGUGAAGGCUGAGAGACACUCAAAUGUUCAAGAGCAGCUAAUGGGUUUGGACAUGCAACUGGCAGCUGAUUCCCCUGUCUUUAAAAAAUCAGGCUGCUUCAAAAUUUUUCAGAGUCAAGACAGCUAAAAUCUAGUGCCUUUGAAAAGGUAAGUUAUUUUUUACCAAUUAGGUAUUAUAGCCCAUAUGCACUUUAAAACUAAGGAUUUUAUUCCUCAAAAAAAGUACUAGCAAUUAUCUGAUGGUAUAUUUUUCUGGUAAGGGAAAGCCACACUAGAUGUGGCAGCAGGUGGACAGAAAAACGUGUAAACUUAGGGCCAGGAAAUGAUACAGUUAGAGGUCCAAGAGGAAGCAGAAAUAUAAGGUGGUACUUGCAGUGUUCAUUGAGGUCAGAAAGAUAUAGCAGUGUGUCAGAGCUGCACACACAGGGCAGAGUCAAGGCACUAAGAAUAAACACCACUGCUGUGUAUUUCAGUUUUUGUACAUUAUAAUUGCCAACUUAAUCUAAAUGUCAUGAAAGAAUGCUGCGGACAGGUGUCUCCACAUAUAAAACGUAAGGCUUUUCUCUCUCCAUUUUGUACAGAUAACAAAGCCACUGCGUAAGACAAGAUACUUGUAAUUAAGGCUUUCCAUAUCUUGCAUGUAAGUUAUCCUGCACAUGUAGGCUAUGGGUUUAUGUACAGAAUGAUAGAGGAAGCAAAAUACUUGCACAUAAUCAUAUAACAUUGUCUUAUUUCUGCUAUUGCUGACUACUCUAAACAUUGUGCAAUGAAAUUGGUGUCUAAAGUGGCAUUGAAGACAGGCAUGAAAACGGGCAUAACAAAGCAGAAGGCAUGGAACAACUGUAUUUUCCUUCUCUCUCGAUGGCAAUGCUGUUCACCCAGAAGGGGGAGAUCUCAGCCCGCAGUGAACACCCAGCUUGGAUUUCUGCUCCAUCUCGGAGCUUGUUUGACAGGAAGAUUUCGACAUAAACCAUGCAAUUUGGUGCUGGAGCACACUGGACAUCAUCUGCUUAAAAAGAUGCACAGAUAUAGUCAUCACACUUCAUAAUUUAAUAAACUGCUAAAAAAUUGCACACGUUUUCAUUUUAGCAACUUAGGUCCCACAACGAAACUCACGAUGCUACAAAGACAUUUGAAUUUUUCACUAAUAUGUCAUGAGCACUGCACCCAUUGCAAAUUAAUGAGUCUCUGAAUAGCACUGUGCAUUUGUCAUUUGAAUUUAUGCUAAUGAACUGAGGUCUCCUGAUGAUGUUGAUAGUCCACAGCAGCUGCUCAAACUAUAGAAUAUACAUGCAUGUUCUCCAUUUUUUAUUUAUCUUUCCUUGGAUUUUUCUGGUCUAUCAUUUGGGCUGCAGUCCUGCAGCUGAUUAUUGAUAGGGCUGCUAAUUCUCUUUGACUUUACACUACAGGCUUGACCCACAACCCUCAGAAGAAGUAAUGGACCAGUGUUGAGAGAAUUAUGUACAUCACACAGCAACAACCUCAGAUCAGCAGGUCAAAAGGAGUUCAUUGAGAACCAAUGAUGUUUACAAAGAGUGUUGGCAUGUUCUGAUGCCUUACACAACAGUUUUCCCUUUAAAAUAAAUCUUUGGGACAGAAGAUAAAAUAAAUGCCAUGCUCUAGUGACUGGCAUGUACCAACUAGAGUCAUAUUCACAUGAGAAAACUGCUUGACAAAUAUUUCAUCUAUCUGAGAUAUUUUCCAUCUGAGUUGCCUUGCUAUUCUGUUCCCACAGCAUUCUCUGCAUUGCACAGUGGAAAAGCAAAGACAUUUAACUUCUGCAGUGGACUGGGAGCUUCAGAUGUUAAAAACCAGGUCUUUAUUUUUUUUUCAGGUCUUUUUUUUUUUUUUUUUUUCCUGUUGGCAUAGAAUAAUGGAAACAAACUUAAUAGCAUCACUUUUCUCUGAAUACGUCUGCAUAAAAGGAGAAAAUCUGGAAGAGGUUAGCUAUAUAACUCAAAAGCCCUUGCAUACAAUAGCUAAAAAUUCCCAUGAACUCAGACUAUUUAUGUAUUUUUUGUAAAAUCAUGAAAAGGACACAAAAACAUCUUUCUCGUCAUUAACAGAGGAAUGUAACUUGCCUAACUAUACAAAAGUACAACUGACAGAAAAUAAGCAAAACAUUCAGAAAUACCUGUAUUCCAAAUCAUGAGGACAUUGAAAUAAUUUUAUGCAGGUCAAUUUAUUGGAAACCCUUGUUACAAUUAACUGAGCAGGUAAUUUUUAACAUAAAUUUAUAAUGACAGUUCUUG